rnacentral:lncRNA from 1 species
GUGGAAGGACAUGAAAUAACUAUGAAACACUGUCCCAGGUUAGGGGAGGGUUGAGGGCUCACAAAUAUGUUUAACCCCGCCACAUUCUGUAUGUGCCUGUCCCAAGUCAGGAGCCUGUAGUACAGUGGUUGUCGUUGGUUCAAGUCUGUCAUAUAUGUUUUUCAUAAAAUGUUUUGUCAUAACUUAGGCCGUUAGUUUUCUCAAUUGAAUUGUUUCAUAUUUGUCAUGUUGGGGCCUUUUAUAGCCGACUUUACGGUAUGGGUUUUCUCAUUGUUGAAGCUCGCACAGUUGCCUUUAAUUGCUUACCUCCACUUUAUUUGAACUUUGGUGGAUAGUUGUUUAAUUGGCAAUCAUAUCAAAUCUCCUUAUUUUUACAUAAAAGUUUUGAUAUUGGCGAUGAAAGGAAAAGGG